AUACUUACCUGGCAGGGGAGAUACCAUGGUCAUGAAGGUGGUUUCCCCAGGGCGAGGCUUAUCCAUUGCACUCCGAAUGUGCUGACCCCUGCGAUUUCCCCAAACCGGGAAACUCGACUGCAUAAUGUGUGUGGUAGUGGGGGACUAUGUUCACGCUCACCCCUG
rfam:Tupaia chinensis contig196489, whole genome shotgun sequence.